GCGCUGCUGAGGUGUCCUAUAACAGGAGGAAACGGCUGUCCAGUGC
rfam:Schistosoma margrebowiei strain Zambia genome assembly, scaffold: SMRZ_contig0000501